rnacentral:rRNA from 1 species
GAUGAACGCUGGCGGCGUGCCUAAUACAUGCAAGUCGAGCGAACAGACGAGGAGCUUGCUCCUCUGACGUUAGCGGCGGACGGGUGAGUAACACGUGGAUAACCUACCUAUAAGACUGGGAUAACUUCGGGAAACCGGAGCUAAUACCGGAUAAUAUAUUGAACCGCAUGGUUCAAUAGUGAAAGACGGUUUUGCUGUCACUUAUAGAUGGAUCCGCGCCGCAUUAGCUAGUUGGUAAGGUAACGGCUUACCAAGGCAACGAUGCGUAGCCGACCUGCGAGGGUGAUCGGCCACACUGGAACUGAGACACGGUCCAGACCCCUACGGGAGGCAGCAGUAGGGAAUCUUCCGCAAUGGGCGAAAGCCUGACGGAGCAACGCCGCGUGAGUGAUGAAGGUCUUCGGAUCGUAAAACUCUGUUAUUAGGGAAGAACAAAUGUGUAAGUAACUAUGCACGUCUUGACGGUACCUAAUCAGAAAGCCACGGCUAACUACGUG